GCCGCGGUACUUGACCGUGCAAAGGUAGCGUAAUCACUUGUCCUUUAAAUGAAGACCUGUAUGAAUGGCAAGACGAGGGCUUAACUGUCUCCUUUUUCUAGUCAAUGAAGUUGAUCUUCCCGUGCAGAAGCGGGAAUGACCCCAUAAGACGAGAAGACCCUGUGGAGCUUUAGACACUAAAUCAGCCCCUGUCAAACACCCCUACCUAAAGGGCCGAACCUAUGGAAACUCUGAUCGAAUGUCUUCGGUUGGGGCGACCCCGGGGAAAGAAAAAACCCCCGCGUGGAAUGGAAGUACUAUACUCCUAAAACUAAGAGCCACCACUCAAAGUAUCAGAAAUUCUGACCAACUACGUGAUCCGGCCUUAACGCCGAUCAACGGACCAAGUUACCCCAGGGAUAACAGCGCAAUCCUCUUUUAGAGCCCAUAUCGACAAGAGGGUUUACGACCUCGAUGUUGGAUCAGGACAUCCUAAUGGUGCAGCCGCUAUUAAGGGUUCGUUUGUUCAACGAUUAAAGUCCU
rnacentral:rRNA from 1 species